rnacentral:rRNA from 1 species
GAUGAACGCUGGCGGCGUGCUUAACACAUGCAAGUCGAACGGGAUCCCAGGAGCUUGCUCCUGGGUGAGAGUGGCGAACGGGUGAGUAAUGCGUGACCGACCUGCCCCAUACACCGGAAUAGCUCCUGGAAACGGGUGGUAAUGCCGGAUGCUCCAGUUGACCGCAUGGUCCUCUGGGAAAGCUUUUGCGGUAUGGGAUGGGGUCGCGUCCUAUCAGCUUGAUGGCGGGGUAACGGCCCACCAUGGCUUCGACGGGUAGCCGGCCUGAGAGGGCGACCGGCCACAUUGGGACUGAGAUACGGCCCAGACUCCUACGGGAGGCAGCAGUGGGGAAUAUUGCACAAUGGGCGCAAGCCUGAUGCAGCGACGCCGCGUGCGGGAUGACGGCCUUCGGGUUGUAAACCGCUUUUGACUGGGAGCAAGCCCUUCGGGGUGAGUGUACCUUUCGAAUAAGCACCGGC